ACCUCAGUGGGGUAGUGGUAGCACACAUCCCCGGUAUGGAUAAAGCGCGGGUUCGACUCCCGCUUGAGUUCAUA